UCUUUAUUUAGGUGGGUAACGUUGAAUCUGACAUCAACAUAUAAGGGCAUGGUAGAACCGCAGAAAAAACUUUGUUGGAAGCUUCAAGCUACAUAGGAUAUCCCUUGAAGCGGCCUCGUUUCAGUGAUCAUCUAGAGGCAAUCAAGUUCAUCUGCAAGGACUUCUGCUCUGAGCUCUUCAAGAAGCAAAUAGACAACUUGAAGACCAAUCAUAGAGGUACGUUUGUCUUGCAAGAUAAUCGAUUUCGUUGGCUUGCAUGAAUGUCAGUCGAUCCAUCGCCUGAAAAUGGAGAUUUAUCUCAAUAUAAUUAUAUUCCUCCAGCUGAAAACAAGGCAGCACAAGCUACCAGCAUGCAUCUAAUUUCCCAUGUGGAAUCAUAAGGGGUGCUCGUUUAAAUUUCAGAAUUCCUCGUGCAGUUACUGCAGAUAUAUCCAACCUUCCUGCAUGUGACUAUGUAUAUUAUGAAGAUUGACGAAUAAUUGUUUGGGAAUGCGAGAAUCUGAAAAGUUUGUUUCCAGCUUCUGUGGCUAGAUUUCUCAUGCAAUUGAAUAAUUGUUUGGGAAUGCGAGAAUUUGAAAAUUUUGUUUCCAGCUUCUGUGGCUAGAUUUCUCAUGCAAUUGGAGGAUCUUCGGAUGGUCGAAUGUGGAAUGGAGGAAGUUGGUGCACUUGAAGAUGGUGCAGAAGCAGCAGCAAGACUUGUGUUCCCAUAAGUAACUCUCCUGAUGCCUAAGAAAUUGCCCAAACUCAAGUGGUUUUCUCUAGGGGUGCAUACUUCAAAAUGGCCAUUGUUGAAAGUAUUGGAGUUGAUUAAAUGUGAUGAAAUUGAGAUAUUUGUUUCAAAAUAUUUGAAAGUUGAAGAAACAGUUGAACAAAGCCAAGGCUUAAUUAUUUCAUUCAAAUCACAAGACUGAUUACAAUGACUUACAUUCAAGUACUUAUAUUAACUGUUUGGAACUUGCAGCCUCAGCCUUUUAAGAGUCCUAAUCCUAUUAAGUACAGCCUCUACAAUUAUCCAAAAGUCUACUGAUUUAGUUACAAGAGAUUAGGAUAGGCUUAGGCUGCGGGAUUCCUG